UAUAUAUAUAUGUAUAUAUAUAUAUAUGUAUGUAUAUAUAUAUAUAUAUGUGUGAAUAUAGAACAUGUAAAUAAUCAACUGAAAAGCUCCCAUAUUUGCCUACAUUAAAACUGAAUUGAUACACAAUCUCAUGUAUUCACAUGUGGACCUAUACGUAUGCAUGUGUAUAUUUAUAUAUAUGUACAUACACAUAUACGUGUGUGUAUAUACGUAUGUAUGUACAAUGACAACUAGCCGUAGCUUCAAUCAUUAGCCAUCAUAUACACCCUCAACACUCAGUUCAUAUACACGUGUAUAUGUGUCUUAACUAAAAAGCAUGACAUUUAAAGAAAGCUUGUCAGUUUUUUUUGUUUCUUUUUUGUUUUUGAAGAAAAAAAAAACUCUUAUGUAUGUAUGUUUGUUUCACUUAUUGGACACCCACCACCAACCCCCGUCCCCUAACCCACCCCCGUUGUGCUGUGUGAAUUCCUUCUUAAACAAGAAAACAAAAAAAAGCCCCC